rnacentral:rRNA from 1 species
UACAGAGACUGCAAGCGUUAUUCGGAUUCACUGGGCGUAAAGGGUGCGCAGGUGGUUGUGUGUGUCAGAUGUGAAAUCCCGGGGCUUAACCCCGGAACUGCGUCUGAAACUGCAUGACUAGAGCAUUGGAGAGGGAAGUGGAAUUCAUGGUGUAGCAGUGAAAUGCGUAGAUAUCAUGAGGAACACCAGAGGCGAAGGCGACUUCCUGGACAAUUGCUGACACUCAGGCACGAAAGCAUGGGGAGCAAACAGG